CAGUGACGAUAGCUGCAUGGACCCACCCGUUCCCAUACCGAACACGGAAGUUAAGCAUGCAAACGCCAAAGGUACUUGGCUGGAAACGGCCCGGGAGAUUAGGAAGUUGCUGGUUC
rnacentral:rRNA from 1 species